UUCGCAGUUUAUAAUAUACCUUUAGUUCGUGACAGGUCGAGAUGGCAAUCGGGCUCUGAGAUGAGUCGUGGAGGAGA